rnacentral:misc_RNA from 1 species
GAUGAAGAACGUAGUGAAAUGCGAUAAGUAAUGUGAAUUGCAGAAUUCAGUGAAUCAUCGAAUCUUUGAACGCACAUUGCGCCCGCCAGUAUUCUGGCGGGCAUGCCUGUUCGAGCGUCAUUUCAACCAUCAAGCCCUGCUUGUGUUGGGGUCCUGCGGCUGCCCGCAGGCCCUGAAAACCAGUGGCGGGCUCGCUAGUCACACCGAGCGCAGUAGCACAUCUCGCUCAGGGCGUGCGGCGGGCUCCAGCCGUUAAAGCACCCACCUUUCGCAAGGUUGACCUCGGAUCAGGUAGGAAUACCCGCUGAACUUAAGCAUAUCAAUAAGCGGAGGA